rnacentral:rRNA from 1 species
GACGUAGGUGGCGAGCGUUGUCCGGAUUUACUGGGCGUAAAGGGCUUGUAGGCGGUCCGUUAAGUCCGAUGUGAAAUCUCCCGGCUCAACUGGGAGAGGUCAUUGGAUACUGGCGGACUAGAGGGGGGUAGAGGAAAGCAGAAUUCCUGGUGUAGCGGUGAAAUGCGUAGAUAUCAGGAGGAAUACCAGUGGCGAAGGCGGCUUUCUGGGCCUACCCUGACGCUGAGGAGCGAAAGCGUGGGGAGCAAACCGG